UACGUAGGUGGCAAGCGUUGUCCGGAAUUAUUGGGCGUAAAGCGCGCGCAGGUGGUUUCUUAAGUCUGAUGUGAAAGCCCACGGCUCAACCGUGGAGGGUCAUUGGAAACUGGGGAACUUGAGUGCAGAAGAGGAAAGUGGAAUUCCACGUGUAGCGGUGAAAUGCGUAGAUAUCUGGAGGAACACCGGUGGCGAAGGCGGCAUUCUGGACCGAUAUUGACGCUGAGGAGCGAAAGCCAGGGGAGCAAACGGG
rnacentral:rRNA from 1 species